rnacentral:lncRNA from 1 species
GUUUGUGACUAUACUAGCCUCUGUGUUAAUCGAAUGAUCUCAAAAUAUCUAUACUUUUAAUUUUUUAUUGUGUGUAUGCACGUAUUUUUCUAAAAUGAGGCCCCUAUUAGGACCACGCACUGUGUGUCGCUGCUGUGUUCUUGCAUAUAAAAAUUCAUGAAAUGAACAUAUAUCAUCUACCAAUAGAUAUAUAUAAUAAAAAAAUAUAUAUAAUUUAUAAAUUGAUAGAGAUGUACCUACAGGAGGAUGAUGCUACGAUGCCAUGACCUCCGAUUGGGCAGGC